GUCGCACUCGAGUGGAAUCCGCCACUACAAUAAUCCAACUUCUGAAAUUGACGAAUUUCACAUCAAACAGUGUUACAAGGACGUGAAAAGUGCACUUACCCUAUUUAAGGAUGAUCCUUUACUUUUUAUUCCAGGAACGAGAACCCAUUACAGUACUUUUGCUUGGACAUUGGUAUCAGGGAUAUGUGAGUCUGUAACAAAAAAAUCGUUUCCAUCACUUCUUAGAGAACUUUUUGAUUCUCUUUCAAUGAACGACACUUUUCUCGAUAAAAACGACACAAUAAUUUUCCACAGAACUCGAUAUUACAAAUUUAAUUCUUGUAAUGAAAUCGUGAACUCACCAUACGCUGAAUCGACUCAUAAAUAUGCGGGAGGUGGAAUUUUGUCAUCAGUUUUGGACAUAAACGUGUUUGCCAAUGCUAUGCUGGAGAGUUAUGAAGCUAAUUCAAAUAGUUAUCUAUCUGCUACCAUUGUUUCUGAACUGUGGUCCCCACAUUAUAAAUCAAAGAAAGACUAUUUUGGACUUGGAUGGUUUAUUUCUGAUCAUCCACGUGCCCCAAAGUAUAUUUACCACACAGGAUGUUCAGUUGGAGGCAGUUCUGUGGUACUAAUACAACCUACGGAUAAAAAUUCACAAAUUCGUGGA